UGCUUAGAUAUCUGCCGAUAGGUGGGGACAACAGUUGGAACGACUGCUAAUACCGCAUAAUGUCUACGGACCAAAGUGGGGGACCUUCGGGCCUCACGCCUAUUGAUGAGUCUAAGUGGGAUUAGCUAGUUGGUGGGGUAAUGGCUCACCAAGGGCGACGAUCCCUAGCUGGUCUGAGAGGAUGAUCAGCCACACUGGAACUGAGACACGGUCCAGACUCCUACGGGAGGCAGCAGUGGGGAAUAUUGCGCAAUGGGCGAAAGCCUGACGCAGCGACGCCGCGUGAGGGAUGACGGCCUU
rnacentral:rRNA from 1 species